AUUGAACGCUGGCGGCAUGCCUAACACAUGCAAGUCGAACGGUAACAGGCCCUUCGGGUGCUGACGAGUGGCGGAUGGGUGAGUAAUACUUAGGAAUCUACCCUGUAGUGGGGGACGAACCCGGGGAAACGUACGGGCGUAAUACCGCAUACACUCUACGGAGGGAAAGCGGGGACCGGCAAGGCCUCGCGCUAUUGGAUGAGCCUAAGCCCGACUUAGCUAGUUGGUGGGGUAAGUAGCCUACCAAGGCAGUGAUCGGUAGCUGGUCUGAGAGGACGACCAGCCACACUGGGA
rnacentral:rRNA from 1 species